UACGUAGGUGGCAAGCGAUACUCGGAAUCACUAGGCGUAAAGCGCAGGUAGGCGGUGCGAUAAGUCUCUUGUGAAAGCUCCCGGCUUAACUGGGAGAGGUCAAGGGAACUGUCGUGCUAGAGUGUGGCAGGAGGAAGCUAGAAUUCCCGGUGUAGCGGUGAAAUGCGUAGAUAUCGGGAGGAAUACCUAUGGCGAAAGCAGGCUUCUGGGCCGUCACUGACGCUGGAUCUGCGAAAGCUAGGGAGCAAACAGG
rnacentral:rRNA from 1 species